AAGGAGUCUAACUCGUAUGCGAGUGUUCGGGUGGCAAACCCCGAAGCCUAAUGAAAAUGAACUGGGGCCAACCGCACGGGGCAGCAUCGUCCGACCUGGAUGCUCUGCGAUGGAUUUGCGUAAGAGCACCAUAGGUCGGACCCGAAAGAAGGUGGACUAUGCCUGAUUAGGGUGAAGCCAGGGGAAACACUGGUGGAGGCUCGCAGCGGUUCUGACGUGCAAAUCGUUCUUCGAACAUGGGUAUGGGGGCGAAAGACUAAUCGAACCAUCUAGUAGCUGGUUCCCUC
rnacentral:misc_RNA from 1 species